AAGCUAUCCCUCGCUGCUAAGCUAUCGCCGCUGCCAACCUAUCUACCUAGGUAUUGCUGCAAGCUAUCCCUCGCUGCUAAGCUAUCGCUGCCAACCUCUCUAUUGCUGCAAGCUAUCCCUCGCUGCUAAGCUAUCGCUGCCAACCUAUCUAUCGCUGCCAAUUUAUCUACCACUGCCAAUCUAUCUAUUGCUGCUAAUCUAUCGCUGCUGUCAAUCUAUCCCUCGCUGCUAAGCUAUCCCUCACUGCUAAGCUAUCUCUCGCUGCUAAGCUAUCCCUCACUGCUAAGCUAUCCCUCGCUGCUAAGCUAUCCCUCACUACUAAGCUAUCUAUCACUGCUAAUCUAUCGCUGCCAACCUAUCUAUCACUGCCAAUCUAUCUAUCGCUGCUAAUCUAUCGCUGCUAAUCUAUCGCUGCUAAUCUAUCGCUGCUAAUCUAUCGCUGCCAAUCUAUCUACCGCGGCGAAUCUAUCUAUCACUAUCAUUACUAGUUCAAAAUAGAACUAGAGCAUAAAUACACUAAACUUCUUUUGAUAGGUAAUGAUUUUUGGUAACGCUCAUAGCAUUAUAUCAUCUAUAUAGGGUAAAUCAUGGUCCCAUUUGGUCCCAUUUUAACAAAAUGGGACCAAAUGGGACCAGAAUCAGUAAUUUAUAAGAAGAACAUGACCUGGAACUAGAUUUAUAAUAUAAACAGUGUAAAGUGACUAAUUUAAUAAACACUAUAUGGAACC
rnacentral:sRNA from 1 species